ACACAUUCUUUGCUGUAAAGUGCAUGAUCUUCACCUCUCUGCUGCCCUCUUGUUACUCUUAACUAGGUUAAGAGACCUCUCCAGCUCUCUUAAAUAAUUUAGGAGCUGAGACCUAGUCUUAACACUUAGGGGGCAUUAUAAAUCAAACUUAUUCUUAAGUCUAGGAAUAAGAGUAAAAUGACGUCAUUCUUAGAACUUUGACACACUUAAGACUAAAAUUUGACUCUGAGCGGCUUUAUACAUACGGGCCCUGCACUGAAAAAAAUGGACUUAAUGGGUCUUUGAAUUUACAUAAAAUAAGCAUGUAUAUGCAACACAAAGUAUUUAUAUUCCUUGUGUAUACAUAAUUUAAUUGAUUAGGAUUAAAAUGUUUUGUUUGAAUGUAAAAUGAACACAUUAUUCUCACAUUGAUUAAAAUUGAUUGAAUUGAAUGCUUAAAGCAAUCAAAUUGAGUGCACACAAAACGGCACCUCCUGAGCAGCAGGUGGCAGUACAGCUCAAUAAAAAGGACGUCAAUUGCCAUAAAAGAAGAAUACAUACGUUUGUUUUGGGCGCCAAAAUGAAGACUCAGCACAGCAGCGUCAGUCAGAAGAACUCUCUCAGACGGACACCACAUUAUUAAAGUAAGUUCUAUUAUUUAUUUAUGUUCACUUUAUAUGUGAUACAUCUUCACUAGAUAGACAGUUUUUUUUACAAUAUGUAGCCAUUGCAAUGACUUGUAGUAAAAAUUAGUUUGGAGCAGGUUGGUGGAGUAAGUUAACAGUCAGUCAAGCUCAUAAAGAAAAACACAGCGUUUUAAAAAUGUCAGCUGUUUAACGUUAGUUCACGUUUGGUAGUUUUAUCUGAGUUGAAAACUGUCAGCUUUGAGUUGACUUUUGAGGCACUUUUUACUCAGCUGUUCUAUGGAAACGUAUCAGGACAAAUAAAACGCUAACCAAAAGUUAUUCUGUCCAGAGUAACGUUAUCCAUGUAAGUAAUUUACCAGAUGAUAUCAAUUGACUACAUUAAAAAUGACAUUGCAUUUUAAACAAACUGUCUGCUUAAUCAGAUUAUCAGACCCGCGUCAGUUAUUCGUGACUUCGCUACGCCACGAGCAACACUUGAUUCUAUUAGAAAAAGCUUUUUCAAAUGCCUCGCGUGAAGUCUGGUAUAUUCACUGAAAAAAAUUGUCUUUGAAGUGCCACACCUUAAAGCUGACGUUUUCAGAAGAGAACCUUGUUGUUUUAAGAUCUCAUUUUGUCCAAUAUUGCGUCCUAUGACAGAUAUAAUACUUAUUUCAUUAUUGCUCUGUGUAUGUGUGACCUUCAUCAUUUGAGGUUAUGUUUGAUUUCACCUCUGAAUAUUUCCUCUUAUAGGUCCAUCAUCCUUGCAUGUGCUACACACUCAAAAGCAUUGAUAAAUGCUGAAUUUAAAAGAAUCACUACUGUCUUAUGUUCCUGCGUGUCACCUGGACCUCCAAUCCAAAAACCUGAUGAAUCUCUUCUAUCAGAAAGGAGGACAGCUAGCAAAAAGACUUCAAACAAUUAAUGAUCAAAUGACAGAAGGCAUGGAUGAAGUCAGCAUCAGUGAGGUCAUUUGAAGACACCAAUGUUGGGAUUUGUGCUCUCAAACAACAUGCUUCUUGAAGAAGAGGAUCUUUGUAUAGUCCUGGAAGGCAUGAAGGUGUUGCAACAUCGUGCCAUGUUGUUUGAGCUGAUGUAUGCCUUAAACCUGAGCUAUCCUGAUCUCCGCUUUAUUUUUGAGGAAAUCCAAAAGAUUUUAAUGGAACUGCAUUGAGCGUAACUUUAACGAACAGUUUCUUUCAGUGAAAGGAUCAGAAAGACUGUGCUGCUCAUUUUCGACUUUGUUUAUCGGUUUUAAGUGUUUUCUCUUUUUAAAACAUUAACAGUUUGCUGCUCAGAGUCGAUUUUGGAAAUGGUUGUUGUAUUUUGUUUUUGUUGAAUCUUUGAUUAUCAGUUUAUACAAAUGCUGUAGCUCUGACUUUCUGAAGGAGUGAUAUUUUCCAGUUUGUAAAUCCAUUUAAAAAAUAAUAGUACUUACUGUUUUGCAUGUCUCUUUGGAAUGCAGUGUUUGUGUUUUAGCACUUCUAAAUCUACUGUGAUAGUAACUAUUUUAAACUGUAAAAAUAAUUGACUUACCAUUUAAAGGACAAUAAAGAUACAUUACAUACAUGCACACAUACACAUCUCAG